rnacentral:rRNA from 1 species
UACGUAGGGCGCAAGCGUUGUCCGGAAUUUAUUGGGCGUAAAGAGCUCGUAGGCGGUUUGUCGCGUCUGGUGUGAAAACUCAAGGCUCAACCUUGAGCUUGCAUCGGGUACGGGCAGACUAGAGUGUGGUAGGGGUGACUGGAAUUCCUGGUGUAGCGGUGGAAUGCGCAGAUAUCAGGAGGAACACCGAUGGCGAAGGCAGGUCACUGGGCCACUACUGACGCUGAGGAGCGAAAGCAUGGGGAGCGAACAGG